UAAGACAUGCUAGUGAGCGCUCCAGCCAACACGGGAGCGCAGCGCACAGCUCAGUAACACGUUAAUCUGCCUUGGGACCGGAAUACCCCCGGAAACUGGUUAAUUCUCGAUAGGUGAAGAACUCUGGAAUGAGUCUUUGCCAAAAAGACGUUUACGUUAUGCUCGUAGGCGUUGCCCAAGGAUGAGGCCGCGACCGAUCAGGUUGUUGGUGAGGUAAUGGCUCACCAAGCCUUUUACCGGUGCGGGCCGUGAGAGCGGGAGCCCGGAGAUGGGCACUGAGACAAGGGCCCAGGCCCUACGGGGCGCAGCAGUCGCGAAAACUUUGCAAUACACGAAAGUGUGACAGGGCUAUCCCGAGUGCCAUCCGCUGAGGAAGGCUUUUACCCAGUCUAGAACGCUGGGGGAAUAAGGAGAGGGCAAGUCUGGUGUCAGCCGCCGCGGUAAUACCAGCUCUCCGAGUGGUGUGGAUGCUUAUUGGGCCUAAAGCAUCCGUAGCUGGCUGAGUUAGUCCCUUGUUAAAUCCACCGAAUUAAUCGUUGGAUUGCGGGGGAUACUGCUCGGCUAGGGGACGAGAGAGGCAGACGGUAUUUCUGGGGUAGGGGUGAAAUCCUAUAAUCCCAGGAGGACCACCAGUGGCGAAGGCUGUCUGCUAGAACGCGCCCGACGGUGAGGGAUGAAGGCUGGGGGAGCGAACCGGAUUAGAUACCCGGGUAGUCCCAGCUGUAAACGAUGCAGACUAGGUGUUUGGACGGCCACGUGCCGUUCUAGUGCCGCAGGGAAGCUAUUAAGCCUGCCGCCUGGGGAGUACGAUCGCAAGAUUGAAACUUAAAGGAAU
rnacentral:rRNA from 1 species